GUCGAGCGAACGGAUAAGGAGCUUGCUCCUUUGAAGUUAGCGGCGGACGGGUGAGUAACACGUGGGUAACCUACCUAUAAGACUGGAAUAACUUCGGGAAACCGGAGCUAAUGCCGGAUAACAUAUAGAACCGCAUGGUUCUAUAGUGAAAGAUGGUUUUGCUAUCACUUAUAGAUGGACCCGCGCCGUAUUAGCUAGUUGGUAAGGUAAUGGCUUACCAAGGCGACGAUACGUAGCCGACCUGAGAGGGUGAUCGGCCACACUGGAACUGAGACACGGUCCAGACUCCUACGGGAGGCAGCAGUAGGGAAUCUUCCGCAAUGGGCGAAAGCCUGACGGAGCAACGCCGCGUGAGUGAUGAAGGUUUUCGGAUCGUAAAACUCUGUUAUUAGGGAAGAACAAAUGCGUAAGUAACUGUGCGCAUCUUGACGGUACCUAAUCAGAAAGCCACGGCUAACUACGUGCCAGCAGCCGCGGUAAUACGUAGGUGGCAAGCGUUAUCCGGAAUUAUUGGGCGUAAAGCGCGCGUAGGCGGUUUCUUAAGUCUGAUGUGAAAAGCCCACGGCUCAACCGUGGAGGGGUCAUUGGAAACUG
rnacentral:rRNA from 1 species